AUUUAUUUAGUAUAAUAGUACAUUUGACUUCCAAUCAAAAAGUUUGAACAUCAAAAUAAAUA
rnacentral:tRNA from 1 species